GCGCUUUGUGGUAAAUUAAUAAACUUAGAAAAAGCAACAAAACCAUGAUUUAAAACUCCGGAACCGGGUGCGCAGGUUCGAUUCCUGCUAGGCGCACCA
rnacentral:tRNA from 1 species